UACGGGGGGUGCAAGCGUUAUUCGGAAUUACUGGGCGUAAAGAGCGCGUAGGCGGUCUUUUAAGUCGGAUGUGAAAGCCCGGGGCUCAACCCCGGAAGUGCAUUCGAAACUAAGGGACUUGAGUAUGGGAGAGGGAAGUGGAAUUCCUGGUGUAGCGGUGAAAUGCGUAGAUAUCAGGAGGAACACCGGUGGCGAAGGCGACUUCCUGGACCAAUACUGACGCUGAGGCGCGAAGGCGUGGGGAGCAAACAGG
rnacentral:rRNA from 1 species